AACACUUCUGCGUGUACAUAGUAAACCCCCAUCCACAUUCAACCCGGCUGAGUUUCCUGGGGCCUGAACCGGGAUGUCUGCCGCUGUAUUCAGCUUCUUACUAGAAGAAAAUACUAAUGUCAGGUGAGAAAAUGAAGGCACGGAGAAGACAAUGUUCUCUCGGUCGCAUAACUGGUCUUUGGGUCAAUUCUUUCAACCAAUUGCCAAUUGGAAAAUCUUCGAAUUCACCUAUGACCUGGAAGCUCCUAGUUCAAGUUGUCCUGCUUUUCUGGACCAAACCAAUGUACAUCUUACAAGUAUUGACUGAUGUCUUCUGUCUCCCUAAAACGUAUAAAACCAAGUCAUGGCCUGAACCACUUUGGGCACAUGUUCUCAGGAUCUCCUGAGGCUGUGUCAUGGACAUGUCCCUAACCUUGGCAAAAUAAACUUCUAAACUGAUGAAGACCUCUCUCAAAUACUUUUUGGUUUACAGCCCUGACAAUAUUUCAGGAAGGAAGAAACUCCUUCUUAGAUGUGAUGCACAUAAUGAAAUCUCUAUUUAAACUAGUGUAAAACUUAAUUGAGUUGAUAUAGUACUAUCCAAUAGAAGUAAAUUACAAGCCACAUAGAAAUUUAAACGUUUCUAGUAGACACAUUUUUAAAAAGUAAAACUAAGUUAUAUUAAUUUUAACAAUAUGCUUUAAUUCAAUAUAUCUAAAAUAUUAUUUUGACAGGUAAUAAAUAUAAAAAAUUGAGAUAUUUUUCAUUUAAAAAAUUCAAAAUCUUCAAAUUCUAGUGUAUAUUUUAUACUUGUAGGAAAUUGUAAUUCAGACAUGAAUUCAUCUCAAUUUCAAGUGUUCAAAAGCCAAACAUGGCUAAUAGCAAUCAUAAUGGACAGUGCAGUUUUAGAACCUGGACCUAGUCUUUUGCCAUGCCUCUGAAUAUGUUC
rnacentral:lncRNA from 1 species